rnacentral:rRNA from 1 species
UACGUAGGGCGCAAGCGUUGUCCGGAAUUAUUGGGCGUAAAGAGCUCGUAGGCGGCUUGUCACGUCGGGUGUGAAAGCCCGGGGCUUAACCCCGGGUCUGCAUCCGAUACGGGCAGGCUAGAGUGUGGUAGGGGAGAUCGGAAUUCCUGGUGUAGCGGUGAAAAUGCGCAGAUAUCAGGAGGAACACCGGUGGCGAAGGCGGAUCUCUGGGCCAUUACUGACGCUGAGGAGCGAAAGCGUGGGGAGCGAACAGG